GAGCUCGUUAGCCGUGGUAGGCAAUCUGCCUAGGAGAGCAAACUCUAAACAAACCCGGGCAGGUGGAGGUCGUUAGCCGUGGUAGGCAAUUCACCUAGGAGAGCAAACUCUAAACAAACCCGGGCAGGUGAGGCUCGUUAGCCGUGGUAGGCAAUUCACCUAGGAGAGCAAACUCUAAACAAACCCGGGCAGGUGAGGCUCGUUAGCCGUGGUAGGCAAUUCACCUAGGAGAGCAAACUCUAAACAAACCCGGGCAGGUGAGGCUCGUUAGCCGUGGUAGGCAAUUCACCUAGGAGAGCAAACUCCGAACAACAAACCCGGGCAGGUGGAGCUCGUUAGCCGUGGGAGGCAAUUCACCUAGGAGAGCAAACUCCGAACAACAAACCCGGGCAGGUGGAGCUCGUCAGCCGUGGUAGGCAAUACACCUAGGAGAGCAAACUCCGAACAACAAACCCGGGCAGGUGGAGCUCGUCAGCCGUGGUAGGCAAUCUGCCUAGGAGAGCAAACUCCGAACAACAAACCCGGGCAGGUGGAGCUCGUCAGCCGUGGUAGGCAAUCUGCCUAGGAGAGCAAACUCCGAACAAUAAACCCGGGCAGGUGGAGCUCGUCAGCCGUGGUAGGCAAUCUGCCUAGGAGAGCAAACUCCGAACAAUAAACCCGGGCAGGUGGAGGUCGUCAGCCGUGGUAGGCAAUUCACCUAGGAGAGCAAACUCCGAACAAUAAACCCGGGCAGGUGGAGGUCGUCAGCCGUGGUAGGCAGUCUGCCUAGGAGAGCAAACUCUAAAUAAACCCGGGCUUGUGGUGCUCGUUAUACUGUCGUAGACAAUCCACGCGAUGGGAACACCAAAGAAAAGGAAAAUAAAAAAGAACACCAGAAAAAUGGAAAAUACAGAAACGAAACAUCAAGAAAAGAAACAAAAAGAUCAUCCACCUUUAGGCCCUAACAUCGCCAAAAUUAUGGGUGGGUCUCUUCUGGGGAGAAAGCGGCUCACCCAGACCAAAGAACAUCAACAAGGGAUGAUAUAGAAAAGAACACCAAAAAAAUAUGGAAAAAGAACAGAAAAAACAUCGAAAAAGAAAAGCAACAGAAAUAAAUGAGCAACAUCGAGAAAAGAGAAAUACAAAGAAACAUCAUCCACCUUUCGGCCCCAAACAACAUCACCAAAAUUAUGGAUGGGUCUCUUCUGGGAGGAAAGCGGCUCAUCCAGACCAAGGAACAUCAACAAAAGGAUGAUGGGAAAAAAAUAACAACAAAAAACAUCAAAAAGAAGUAAAAAGAAAAAGAACAGGAAAACAUCGAAAAAGAAAACAAAAGCAAUAAAAAGAACGAAAAACACGACAUCAAGAAAAUAAAAUAAAACAAACAUCAUCCACCUUUCGG